rnacentral:lncRNA from 1 species
UAACUUCUGAUUUCUUUGUACUUUAAUUAAUGCAAACACAUUUAUGGUAAAUAUGAUGUUCGUAUAUACGGGCUCGCUGUGUCACCACGCAGGGCAGACAGAGAACUCAGUUACACAUCCUUUGCUUUUCAUUAAAUACUCUGACAGAGAUAGUUCCCACUCACUGCUGGCCUGUCAGAGGGAGGAUGAGCGUGGUUUAAACUUACUCAUCCUAUCGUUGGCGUGCAGGUUGGUCCCAACCUCGAGACGCCUCCUGUUGCCGGGCGUAGUUAUUAUCUUUGGCAGUCGAUUUAUCUUGUUGCACAAUGCAGUUCUCUAAAACCCUGACACCCCUCCGCAUAUACAUUUCACCCAUAUCCUGCCCAUAUCUUUUAACAAGCUCUUCCACAUCCCUGAUUUACAGCAUCUGCAUUCUUUCCAUAUGACUCACCAUCCCAUGGCCCCUUCCUCUCACACAGCAGUAUGCUCUUAUCAUAUAGAGUAUAAACUUAAUAUUAUAGCAUAGCUUCUUUGUUAUAUUAUAUAGGUUAUGCAAACAAAUAGUUGAUCAAACCCUAACACAAGUCAAACGCCAUUUUAAUCAGGAGAAUUUCCUCUUUUAAUUAUUUAAGUCUGGGCCGCAAGCUCCACUGUCAUCAAACGCUAGCCCAAAAAUACUUGUUUUCACUUGGAAAGCUGAGCUCCCCCCAUUGUUUGCCUAUGCAGAGGAACAGUCUGGGAAGCGAGCUCAUUUGUCAUCGAUCGCUAGACCAGAAAUAGUCAGAAGUUUUCAUUUUUUCCGUACUUCCUCAUUACGCAGCCAUAAGCACAGUUGACACCAUCGAGGUGCGGAGGUUUACUUUCUACCCCAGUUGCUUUUUUAUCAGUUUCGUCUGACGAGCAGAUUGUAGUGGUAAAAUGAAAAGGGAUCAACAAAAAUUGUGCCAUUUUGGCGAAAUGGAAUUCUAAGCGUCACUCCGGUCAAAACAUCUGCGGCCGUUCGAUUCCAUUUAUUUGCUAUGAGCUCGCGCUAGUGUUCCAGCUUAUCCAACGUUCUUAAGCCGUUUUUCAGCCUGGGGUGAAUUUUGACUCGCUCUAUUGUCCAGCCUAACAGGACUGUGAAUAUUGUAGCUUGUCCCUGAGCUGUUGGAGGAAUGGUUCUUGCCUCUCUGCCUGCUGGAGGUACUGCAUGUUGGAUCCAACCUUAAAAUUAACAACAAAUAAAGUUAGCAGCUAGUUAACUGCAUAACUACAGAGCAUCAAGGGGAGCUGCCCUCCCUACCUUCAGACGAUGCUCAAACAGAUGCUGAGUGGGAUCUUUGAGAAGACCCUACACCCAAAACCAUUCUGCCAGAUCUGGACUCUUGGCCCACCUAACUUCAGGACAGCUGUAUACCUGCCCAUCUCCAUAAAACUUGCAGUUUUCAAGUUAAUUUCCUGCAGUUCUACACAUUUUGCCAUGAGGCAGAAAUAAAGGGAAUCUCUCACGAAGGUUGUAUAUUGCAGGCUUUUUCUGCAAUGUAUAUGUAAUGAGUGCUUACUUAUUCUGGCAGUGAUGGCUUAUGCCAUUUUUAUGUUAUUCCUAUAACGAUUUUCUCUCACUUAGCAAUUGUUAAACUCUCCUGUGUUGAAAGUGCACUGAGCAACCUGCAUGGUAUAUGUAUCAUAGCAAGUCUGGUGGUUUCACCUUUUGAUUUAGUUGUGCUCUCAUGUCAAAAAAUUACUUGUUUGCUUGAAAGCCUCAAAGGAGUCACGAAAGUAGGCUUUUAAUACGUGUGCUCCCCACUUGAUCACUUUCAUCAACUUCUCUACAGCCAUCCUUUUUUCUGUUGUUUACAGUAACCAGAAAUAUCUGUACAGUUUAUUCUGUUCCAUAGCCAC